rnacentral:tRNA from 1 species
UCCCCGAUAGCUCAGCUGGCAGAGCAAGUGGCUGUUAACCACUGGGUCGAUGGUUCGAAUCCGUCUCGGGGAGCCA